rnacentral:rRNA from 1 species
CGCGCAGGCGGCCAGGUCAGUCGAAUGUGAAAGCCCCCGGCUCAACUGGGAGGUCAUUCGAUACUGCCUGGCUUGAAGAUAGGAGAGGGAAGCGGAAUUUCAGGUGUAGUGGUGAAAUGCGUAGAUAUCUGAAGGAACACCAGUGGCGAAGGCGGCUUUCUGGCCUAUUCUUGACGCUGAGGCGCGAAAGCUAGGGGAGCGAACG